UACGUAGGGUGCGAGCGUUAAUCGGAAUUACUGGGCGUAAAGCGUGCGCAGGCGGUUAUGUAAGACAGGGGUGGAAUCCCCGGGCUUAACCUGGGAACUGCAUUUGUGACUGCAUAGCUAGAGUACGGUAGAGGGGGAUGGAAUUCCGCGUGUAGCAGUGAAAUGCGUAGAGAUCCGGAGGAACACCAGUGGCGAAGGCGACACGCUGGGCCGUACCUGACACUGAUGCGCGACAGCAUGGGGAGCAAACAGG
rnacentral:rRNA from 1 species